rnacentral:rRNA from 1 species
CCUACGGGAGGCAGCAGUAGGGAAUAUUGCUCAAUGGGGGAAACCCUGAAGCAGCAACGCCGCGUGGAGGAUGAAGGUUUUCGGAUUGUAAACUCCUUUUGUUAGAGAAGAUAAUGACGGUAUCUAACGAAUAAGCACCGGCUAACUCCGUGCCAGCAGCCGCGGUAAUAAGGAGGGUGCAAGCGUUACUCGGAAUCACUGGGCGUAAAGAGCGCGUUAGCGGGAUAGCAAGUCAGAUGUGAAAUCCUAUGGCUUAACCAUAGAACUGCAUUUGAAACUGUUCUUCUAGAGUAUAGAAGAGGUAGGUGGAAUUCUUGGUGUAGGGGUAAAAUGCGUAGAGAUCAAGAGGAAUACUGAUUGCGAAGGCGACCUGCUAGAGCAUGACUGACGCUGAGGCGCGAAGGCGUGGGGAGCAAACAGGAUUAGAUACCCGUGUAGUC